CCUACGGGAGGCAGCAGUGGGGAAUUUUGGACAAUGGGCGCAAGCCUGAUCCAGCAAUGCCGCGUGAGUGAAGAAGGCCUUCGGGUUGUAAAGCUCUUUUGUCAGGGAAGAAACGGUGGGGCUAAUAUCUCCUGCUAAUGACGGUACCUGAAGAAUAAGCACCGGCUAACUACGUGCCAGCAGCCGCGGUAAUACGUAGGGUGCAAGCGUUAAUCGGAAUUACUGGGCGUAAAGCGUGCGCAGGCGGUUUUGUAAGUUUUGUCGUGAAAUCCCCGGGCUCAACCUGGGAAUGGCGAUGAAGACUGCAAGGCUAGAAUCUGGCAGAGGGGGGUAGAAUUCCGACGUGUAGCAGUGAAAUGCGUAGAGAUGUGGAGGAACACCGAUGGCGAAGGCAGCCCCCUGGGUCAACGAUUGACGCUCAUGCACGAAAGCGUGGGGAGCAAACAGGAUUAGAUACCCUGGUAGUCCACGCCCUAAACGAUCGUACUACUAGUUGUCGGGUUUUAAUUAACUUGGUUAAACGCAGCUAACGCGUGAAAGUGACCGCCUGGGGAGUACGGUCGCAAGGAUUAAAACGUUCAAAGGAAAUUGAACCGGNGNGAGAGNGCGAGACGACGACGAGGAGAG
rnacentral:rRNA from 1 species